rnacentral:rRNA from 1 species
AACGAACGCUGGCGGCAGGCUUAACACAUGCAAGUCGAACGCAUCGCAAGAUGAGUGGCAGACGGGUGAGUAACGCGUGGGAAUCUACCUAGUUCUACGGAACAACAGUUGGAAACGACUGCUAAUACCGUAUACGCCCUACGGGGGAAAGAUUUAUCGGAAUUAGAUGAGCCCGCGUAAGAUUAGCUAGUUGGUGGGGUAAUGGCCUACCAAGGCGACGAUCUUUAGCUGGUCUGAGAGGAUGAUCAGCCACACUGGGACUGAGACACGGCCCAGACUCCUACGGGAGGCAGCAGUGGGGAAUAUUGGACAAUGGGCGCAAGCCUGAUCCAGCCAUGCCGCGUGAGUGAUGAAGGCCUUAGGGUUGUAAAGCUCUUUCACCGAUGAAGAUAAUGACGGUAGUCGGAGAAGAAGCCCCGGCUAACUUCGUGCCAGCCGCCGCGGUAAGAC